UGGUGAGGUUAUAUCCUAUAGAUCCCACUGCUGGAGAGAGGCUAAGUGAUCUUACACUGGUUUUGGCAACUGUGCUAGUAGUCAUGGCAUUGUUGUCGGCCUUGUUGUUCUGAAAAUACUACGGACGUGUGGGUGGAGCGUACACAGGUAGUGAGACAUAGCAAUUAUGUAUAAAGAUGAUGGAUGUAAGAGAAAAAAGACACAGAUAUAAAAUGGAAUAAACCACAUAGAAGCCAGUAAUAACGACUGAGCGAGGGUGAUGCCAUCUCCCCCCAUACAGAAAGGCAACAGGAUGUCACAUGCACCU
rnacentral:lncRNA from 1 species